rnacentral:rRNA from 1 species
UACGUAGGGUGCGAGCGUUGUCCGGAAUUACUGGGCGUAAAGAGCUCGUAGGUGGUUUGUCGCGUUGUUCGUGAAAAACUCACAGCUCAACUGUGGGCGUGCGGGCGAUACGGGCAGACUGGAGUACUGCAGGGGAGACUGGAAUUCCUGGUGUAGCGGUGAAAUGCGCAGAUAUCAGGAGGAACACCGGUGGCGAAGGCGGGUCUCUGGGCAGUAACUGACGCUGAGGUGCGAAAGCGUGGGGAGCAAACAGG